GACUGACCUGAAGGUAGUGAGUUAUCUCAAAUGACUGUUCAAUCAGUUACAGAUCAAACUCCUUGUUCUACCUUUCCCCCCCAUCUCAUUGCACUCACCUAGACUUAA
rnacentral:Y_RNA from 1 species